UCUGGUAUGAUAACAAUGACCCUGUUUGGGACAACGAACAGUCAUCCAUUAUCUUCACUGAGCUACAGGGAGAUGGAGACAGUUCCAAGGAAAGGACCAGCAUAGAGUUCAAACCCUCACUGGAAAACCUAGACACAUCGAUCGAGGUUAAAAUACAGAGGCCUACUGUCCGUUCUGCAUGGUAGUUUGCUGAGAGCUCAAGACAUUCCACCGAAACAGAAGAAAAGAGAGACUCAGCCUAAUUUUAAUUUCACCAUGACUUGUUCACUGACGUCAUGUCAAAUAAAUCCUUUCCACCAGUAUAAUGGUCCACCUUCUUCAUAGUGUCUGAGCCACUAGGAUCAAUGGGCGCACACACUAUUUUUUUAAGUAUUUCAAUGACAAGAGGAUGUUACUUCAAGGUGAAACCAGCUCCUGAGUCUGUCAUGCCUUGCUGGGAUCUUCUGCUGCCCAUACUCUUUCUAACCACAAGGUCAGUGCUGUCCAAGUUUUGUUUCUGGAGCCAAAAAUGUUACGUCAUACAGCAUAGUCUAUGACAGCGGUCUGGGAUGUUGGAGACCACCACAAACUCUUGAAGUUCCACAGUGAUGCACCAUUGC